rnacentral:rRNA from 1 species
UACGUAGGGUGCGAGCGUUGUCCGGAAUUAUUGGGCGUAAAGAGCUCGUAGGCGGCUUGUCGCGUCGGAUGUGAAAGCCCGGGGCUUAACUCCGGGUCUGCAUUCGAUACGGGCAGGCUAGAGUUCGGUAGGGGAGAUCGGAAUUCCUGGUGUAGCGGUGGAAUGCGCAGAUAUCAGGAGGAACACCGGUGGCGAAGGCGGGGUCCUGGGCCAGUACUGACGCUGAGGAGCGAAAGCGUGGGGAGCAAACAGG